CCUGUGUGGUGCAAGUACUGUGCCGAACCGUGGAGAGGAGAGACCUGCAGCGCAGUUUCACAGGUCACAUGUAUCCUUGUUGGACUGGUCUUGUAUACCUCCUAGUGGCUGUUUGGAAUGUGGCAUAAGCAAUUGGGAUCGGCUGACCUAACGUGUCCUGAAGAGGAUACCAGAAUAUAUUGUGGGGAUUAAAAUAAGGCAUAAAGACAAUGAUGAUUCAAUGACUUUGGACAAAGGACAAUGACUUUGGACUUUGAAUAAUGGAGCCAAUAAUGGCGGCACCAGCAUGCGCAGUAUGCAAAGCGUAUUUCACUGUUGUUACAUUUGGUGACAAUAAAGCUGUUGAAUGGU